CCGGUUGAGCACAUGGCGUGCACGGAGGCUGUAACCCUCCCGCCCUCGGGCGCAGGUGGUUCGAUUCCAUCCAACCGGAC
rnacentral:tRNA from 1 species